CACAGUGAUCUGCUCAGGAACUGGACUGCGCUCCUGGAAAACACUCGUUAUAGACGUGAUGCGACGCAAGAAUUUUGUCAAGACGGAGAGGUUAGCACGGCAUGGCCAGUGUGCCAUGCUAAUUCAACAGGGACAUCGUUCGUUCUAGGUCCAAAUGAACACGGUUCUGAACAAAGGACCCUUUGGAGAACAUUCUGAUGGAAAAUCAACAAAGAUAAGGACCCAAUUUGGGAUGCUUUUUCAUAUAUCUGUCGAACUGUGC